GGUUGUCAUCAGUAGGAGCAGCCAACAGGUACAAAUGGCUGAUGCUUCCCAGAACCCCACACUUCUUCAAAAACCAGCCCUCGGGCAAGUCUGAAGGCUGCUCUCCACCCAGCUUUGGCAGGGGCAGGAUCCGAGUUUCUGCAAAGAUAUACUCUCCAGCAAGUGAUGGAAAUCGCUGAUACCAGCUUCCUUCCUCUCCUCCCCACCCGGCACCCCAGCCCACCACCCUGUGACGGAGAGGUCAGUGAGCAAGGAGACAGCUAAGACACUGUGGGAGGAAGGAGAAAGAAGGAAAGUUGAUCAGCACUUCA